AGUGAACGCUGGCGGCAGGCCUAACACAUGCAAGUCGAACGGCAGCACAGAGGAGCUUGCUCCUUGGGUGGCGAGUGGCGGACGGGUGAGGAAUACAUCGGAAUCUGCCUAGUCGUGGGGGAUAAGCGUAGGGAAACUUACGCUAAUACCGCAUACGACCUACGGGUGAAAGCGGGGAUCGCGAAGACCUCGCGCGAUUAGAUGAUGCCGAUGUCCGAUUAGCUAGUUGGCGGGGUAAUGGCCCACCAAGGCGACGAUCGGUAGCUGGUCUGAGAGGAUGAUCAGCCACACUGGAACUGAGACACGGUCCAGACUCCUACGGGAGGCAGCAGUGGGGAAUAUUGGACAAUGGGCGCAAGCCUGAUCCAGCCAUGCCGCGUGGGUGAAGAAGGCC
rnacentral:rRNA from 1 species